rnacentral:rRNA from 1 species
ACUGGUGUCACUGGUUCCUCCCUUCUGAAGAACCGUCAUGCCAUUCAGUUGGUGUGGCGGGAAAUCAGGACUGUUACUUUGAAAAAAUUAGAGUGUUUAAAGCAGGCUUUCGCUUGAAUACAUUAGCAUGGAAUAAUGAAAUAGGACGUUUGAUCCUAUUUUGUUGGUUUCUAGGAUUGACGUAAUGAUUAAUAGGGAUAGUUGGGA